GGAAGGAGGGAAGGAAGGAAAGGAAAGGGGAAGAGAGAAAGAAAAGAAGGAGGAAAGGGAGAGAAAGAAUUGGAAGAUUAGUUGCCCGUUUUAUGACUCACAUCAUCCACCACUCAUACUACUGGACUGUGGUGGUAAACAUUAGACAUGGUAUAAUGAAAGCUAUACCUUGUUCUGUAGAGGAAUAAAGAAUGACUUUAUAGACCUAGGAAACAUUUAAUUUAAGCCAGUCUUUAAAGAUGGUUGACGAAAGAGGAGCCAGACAUGAUUACAAAAGGUAUAGGUAGUGUAAUUAUCCUUUUAAUGUUAUACAGGUAUUCAUAACCACCUUUCUUUUGACCCCCUAUGGCUCAGGGACCUACAAGUCUGAAUAUGUAAGAACGCUUUCUACCUGAGGAGAUGAAAACUGUCUGCUUAGAUAUUUUAAUUGCUUCUUUUUUAAGCAUAUGUAGCAAUGUGAGAAUUCAGACCAUUUUCCUUCCGUGAAGCUGGUCAGAACAGCCCUUCAGUUCCUUAUUUCUGCUGUGGUUGGGAAAUGCUCUUCAUGUUCAGUGGUGCAUUUUAGCAGUCACCCCAUGGAGUGUGUAUUAAAAAUAACUCACUCCACAUGGCUCCAUAUUUGUGAAAAGCUUCUAGCUGAAUCUACCAGUGGUCUGUUUGGUGAAGGAAAAUUAUUCUGUGGUAGCUACUGGCCUACUAAGCGUUCCAUUUCAAAUGAUGCACUUCAAAGCUGUUAAUGUUUUCUAAAAGCCAGAAGUUCCCCUGCAUUUAUACCAAGUGUUUUAUAUACCAAACCUCAUUACCCACUUCACUGGCCUUGACCUAUAAUGAUGCUUGCCUUUAGCUCUGGCCUGCAGAGUUAAGACUUAAGACAAAAAUAUAUAAUACCCACCACAAAAUCAAUGCCCUAACAGACUCAUGCAAGUGAGCGCCACUCUCAAACAGGGAAAGACAAGAUGGAAAAGCUUAUGAUUAAUAGUGAUUAUGUUGGAAAUUAAAAUGAUGACCCAUACUUUUUAGCUCAGUACUUUUUUAUAAACGACUACAUCUACCUGUGGUUUGAAGCAUCAUUCUUUGCAUGUUGGUGAGUGUGGAAAGAUAUAUCUAAACUGACUGGUUGGUGAGUAUCACUGCAUUUGACAUAUCCUAUUUAUUUGCAUUGCUGUUCAAACUGCCAUUGUUUCUUCCUGUCACAGUUUUUUUUUUGUUGUUUUUUGUUUUUUUCUCUUCUCAAAGCAGGUUAGUGCAGUGGUUUAGAGGAUGGGUGUUAGAUUUACUCCGUCUGGGCUUCAAUUCCUAUUCCAUUUAUUUCUAACUGUGUGCAAAUUACUUAACUACAACUCUCAAUUUCUUAAUCAGUAAAUUAACUUUCCUCUUUGUAGGUUUGUUCUGAGGAGUAAAGGGACUAAGUAUGUAAAACAGUUAACUCAUUGCCCGGAAUUUGUCCUGUGCUUCGUGAAAUCCCAGAGGCCAUCCCGUGGAAGAUAUAUCAUGGUUUAUUCAUCUUUAAGAAAGAAAAAACUGUCUUCAAUGGGGAGUCUAAUAAGAUAAUUGCUUAAAGUUGGGACACCAAAGGGUUAUCUCUUCAAUGCAGGGAAAAAUGAGAAAUAGACCCAUCACUCAGAAAGGGAACUUGCAACAAAGGAACUUGCAGGUCUCGAAUUUGGUCCUAGUAGAAGGAAGGACAAAUGUCUUCCCUGAGAUUUUGAUUUUACAAUGUCAUUGUGAAUUUUUUUAAAAAAGUUUAGAUAGAUAAUUUAAUUUAAAGUGGUCUCAGGUGGGGAGGCCCCCGGACAAACGAUAGGAGCAGCUGUGAAUACUCUUUGGAAGAACUCUAUGUCCAUCCAAGUCUCCAGGGAUUUUAAGAUGGCAGCAAUUUUCAAGGACAUUCUCAAAAUCAGAGAUGAUAAAAUAUGAAAAAAUCGGACAGUUUGAAUUGAUUAAAUACAGUGCAUAAUAGUCAUACAAUAUUGUUAAAAUCAUGAAUUUUGACAAUAUUUGUUAGGUGAGAUCUUAUUGAUAGAUUGAAGCAAAAUUUUCAUUCCAUUACAGGAAUGAAAUUAAACUCCUUUCCUUCUAAAAUAGAACAGUCUGGAGGAGAGACAGGUGUAGAGUAAUAAAUUACAUAUAUAUAAGUUACAAAUAGAUUUUAUAAAACAAUAAUAAAUUAUAAAGGAGUGAAUGUUGCCACAGAACUUACAGAAUGACCAGAGAAGCCAUUACGGAUAUCUGAAAUUGAAUGGAAUGUUUCACAGAAGAGGUGACUUAUGUAGUAGAGUUACAUUAGCAAAGUGAAACUUAAAAUAUAGGUAAUUAUUUGGUUCUUUGAGGCCUUGCAUUUCAAAUACUUUCAUCUGAAACAUUCUUUCAUCUGCAAUGAAAAUCAAGGUUAAUGAUAUUUUCUUGCUUGCUUGUAAUAUUCCUAUAUUUUCCUCUGUUCUCUGCUUCAUUUUUAGAAUUUUUCUAAAUCAAAAUAACAUAUGAUUACAGCAUUUCUUUGCAUACCUUUCUCCACACCCUCUUCUGCCAAGGAUAUUAGACUAUAUAUUUCCCAGAAUACAAAACUUAGAGUAUUAAAAUGUAUAUUCAAAUAUUAAAACAUAUAUUCUAAUAUUUUAAACUCUAUUCAUACUAGAAUAUAUUUUAAUAUUCUAAGUAAUAUGCUUAUACUGCUUUUUCUUGAUAUAUCAAUUCUAGGCAUUAUUAGCUAAAUCAGGCUAUGUUUACAAAAUUAUGACCAUGACAGUAUCAUUCCAUUUUUUAGCCAAGUAAUAUCUAUGAUUAGAUUUCUUAGAGUUAUUAACCACUUCUGUUUUUCCUGUUUGCUUAGUUUUUUUGUACUUAUCCCAAUUUUUUUCUUUCGAAUACAACAAUAGAUUUAUUAAAUUUCCAGCAGUGAUUUUACUUUUUCAAUGCUGAUGCAUAUCAAACAAUCCACCCAUUCUGUAUAAUUUUUUUCCUGGAGCGCUGCUACUCUGGACUGGUCCCAUCUAGGUCUGAUGCAUGACCAUCCUCCUUGGGCUGUCCUUGACUUUCUCCUGGGUCUGUUUUCCUGGAUCCAUUGUUACUUUUUCUCUGAAUUUACUCCCUAGUUUCACUGGAGCACAUUUUUCAGUAGCUUCCUGAGAAAGACGCUUGGUAGGUAAAUAUCUGAAAAUGUCUUUAAUCUCUCACUGGAUGGAUAAUUUGAAUAUGAUAUCCUAAAUUAGCUGUUGCUUUCCUUCAGCACUUUCCAGAGUUACUGGUGAGAAAUUGUAUGGCAUUUUCAUUCUCUUUUAAUAACCUUUUAUUAAAUCACUAAUUGUCUAGGUUAUAUAAAGUUGGCGUGGGGCUUUUGUUAAUCAAUUUGCUAAGCAUGUGAUAGGUACUAAUAAGCUAAAGCCAUGACUCUUAACCUAUGUUUGGAGGUUCCCCUGGGUACAUAGGGUGCCCCAAGGAACUUGCCAGGAUGCCAGGGAAUGUUUUACAAUUUCAAGGAAGAUGUAGUAACAUCUUUUGGACACCAGAUAAAUCAUAACUUGAGUUUCAACAUAAGAUUGCUACAUUCCUUCAAUAAUGUGAUAUCUUUUAAGUGAGUUUUCUGCAGUAGCUGUGAUUUUUCAAAAAGUCAUGAAAAUUAGUAUGGAACAGGAAAUGAGAGUGGUAAUAUCUAUUAUAGUAUAAUUUCAAGUUUUGAAAAGUUGCAUAAUGCCCAGUAGGUGUCAAGUUUUUAGGACAUAAAUACUUACUGUUGUUUGGGCCUCAUUACUUAAUAAAUAGAUUUGUUAGGUAUUUCUUUGGUCCCCAAGUGUGUCAUGAAAAAAUCACUAAGUCACUAAGGACACCGUUUACCCAGAAAAUUGGGACCUCUGAACUGAAGACUCUUACACUAUCUGCAUGCGGAAAUCCUAUUAACUGAACAUUGGACUCUCCCCAUAUUGACCCACUAAUAAACUGAUUUUUGUUGCUAUUUCUCCACUUUUCCUUCAUUUUUAUUCAUUUUUUUUUCAUUCUGGAGAACUAGAUUUUUAUGUACAACUCUUGUAUUGAUUUUUCAUUCCAUCUAUCAUAUCUCUAAGUUCCCAAACCAUUUUCUUGUUCUUUGAUUGUUCCUUUUUUAUAUAGCAUCCUCUUGUUGUUUUGUAGACACAUUAUCUUUGCUUGUCUGUCUGAGCAUAUUAUAAUAGUUUUUUGAAGACUAUUUUGCACCAGUAUUGACUCAGAUGUCUCCAAGUUCCUUUUUCUCUACUUUGUUUUUGAGUGUGCUAUGCAUAUCUGAUAAUUUCAUCUAUUUUGAGAUUUGUUCCAUCUUUGUGUACCCCAAGAGACAGAAUCUGAAAUGAGGAUCUAAGUGCAAGAAGUUUAUUUGGGAUGUAAUUCUAGAAAACACUGGCAGUAAAGUGCAGACAUGAGACAGUGAAGGGAAUGAACCAAUAAAGGCCGUACUGUUAGUUGCUCAGUCCCUCUAGAGCUCAGCAUGUCCCAAUUGAAAGUGAGUGAGAAAGCCGGUAAAAUGGAUUUACCAACUCUCCAGCCAUCUUUGCGUUAAGGGUUGCUUCUGGGACAUUAACUCCCUGGUCAGCAUCUCUAUGAGGGCUGUGUGUACUCCCAACAAAAAGAUGCCUUCAGGGAGAGAACUGAAGGUAUUUUCUGUAAGCAACCUGCAGCCUGUGGAGUUGAAUGCAGAGGAGACAUAAUAUACUAACAUUAGGCUUCAUCAUAAUCACAUUCCUUAUUCUAAAAGAGUUCAGAAGAAAUCAUGGUGGAAGGUGUAUUGCACGCAGCCCUAGACACAUUUUCAUCUCAAAUCUUUUAUAAAAAGCUGGUUCAGACACAAUCAAGAUUGAAUAUAUUAUCCUUGGGAAGACUUGCAAGACAAUAUUUUGGGCCACCUAUACCAGAUUUUUAAAAACUUCUUGGAAUGCAUGGCUAGCAGAGUGUUUGUGAAAUCCAGCCGAUUGCUGAUUGCACAGUUCCUGUGAGUAGAUUAUGUACAAGUUAGAUUCAUUGAACUAAAAAGGGAUAUUGUGUACAUCAAGGUUUCUCAACUUCAGAGAUAGUGACAUUUUGGUUCAGAUAGUUCUUCAUUGUGGAGGCUGUCCUUUGUAUUAUAGGAUGUUUAGCAGCAUCUCUAGCCUCUACUCACUUGGUGCAAGUAGCAUUAUCUUCUUCUAGUUGUAUUAAACCAAAGUGUCUUCAGACAUUGACAAGUGUUUUCUGGAGGGCAAAAAGUCCCCAGUUGAGAGGCACUGGUGUACAGCCUACAGCUCUGGUUCUCAUGCUUGACCACAUAUUAUGGUCACUUGGGAAGCUUUUAAAGCCCUCAUGAUUGGAUCCUUCCCCAAGAGGUCCUGAUUUUAUUAGUCUGGGGCCUUAGAAGGUUUAAAAGUUCCCCAGGUGGUUCUAAUCUACAAUCAAGGCUGGUCAUUAACUGUAGGGCAGCAAAUUGCUGAGUGUAAGACAAUCAGAUAUGGUGAGGCCUGUGUUAAACUGGGCAUCUUGUUGCCAUAUAGAAGAGAUCUUCUCUUCUUACGGAUUUAUUUCUCUUUUUUCGUGCUUUGUAGCAAACAUAAGACAUUUUUAGCACACCUCUCUUUUAAUAGUACUAUUCUUGUGUGGCAAGUACUAUUCUUGUGUGACAAGAGAACUACUGAGCCACAGAGUGACGAUCAAAAGCUAGGCGUGGAAUAAAGGUGUACAAACCAGCUUUGUGACCUUGUGCAAUCACUGCACCUGCCUGGCCUCAACUUUCUCAUUGAUAACAUAAGAAUAGCAAUGAUGCUUUCUUUAUAGGGCUGAGGUGACGAUUAAGAGUUAAUACAGAACUUAGUACAGUAUCUGGCGCAUAGAGGUCAGCAUGUGUUGACUCUUAUUACGAACUGUUUGUCUUCCUCCACUUGAGUGUAUGCUCCUAAGAGAUCAGGUCUUAUCCAUCUUAAAACUUCAGUGAACUGAGCAAAAUUAACCCAUUCUCUGUUUGUCAUUAGCCAUGGCCUUCACAUAGAAGGAUUUGGACAAAAAAAAAAAAAAAAAAAAAAAAAAA
rnacentral:lncRNA from 1 species